rnacentral:rRNA from 1 species
UAGGGAAUCUUCGGCAAUGGACGAAAGUCUGACCGAGCAACGCCGCGUGAGUGAAGAAGGUUUUCGGAUCGUAAAACUCUGUUGUUAGAGAAGAACAAGGACGUUAGUAACUGAACGUCCCCUGACGGUAUCUAACCAGAAAGCCACGGCUAACUACGUGCCAGCAGCCGCGGUAAUACGUAGGUGGCAAGCGUUGUCCGGAUUUAUUGGGCGUAAAGCGAGCGCAGGCGGUUUCUUAAGUCUGAUGUGAAAGCCCCCGGCUCAACCGGGGAGGGUCGUUGGAAACUGGGAGACUUGAGUGCGGAAGAGGAGAGUGGAAUUCCAUGUGUGGCGGUGAAAUGCGUAGAUAUAUGGAGGAAUACCGGUGGCGAAGGCGGCCCCCUGGACAAAGACUGACGCUCAGGUGCGAAAGCGUGGGGAGCAAACAGG